CACAAAUAUGAAGGCGGGCUGGAACCUCUCGGGGUUACAGCCUUGCUGAAUUAUUCACCCUUGUCUUUUGCGUACUUCUUGUUUCCUUGGUGGGUUCGCCCACCACUAGGACAAACAUAAACCUUUUGUAAUUGCAAUCAGCGUCAGUAACAAAUUAAUAAUUACAACUUUCAACAACGGAUCUCUUGGUUCUGGCAUCGAUGAAGAACGCAGCGAAAUGCGAUAAGUAGUGUGAAUUGCAGAAUUCAGUGAAUCAUCGAAUCUUUGAACGCACAUUGCGCCCUUUGGUAUUCCAAAGGGCAUGCCUGUUCGAGCGUCAUUUGUACCCUCAAGCUUUGCUUGGUGUUGGGCGUCUUGUCUCUAGCUUUGCUGGAGACUCGCCUUAAAGUAAUUGGCAGCCGGCCUACUGGUUUCGGAGCGCAGCACAAGUCGCACUCUCUAUCAGCAAAGGUCUAGCAUCCAUUAAGCCUUUUUUCAACUUUUGACCUCGGAUCAGGUAGGGAUACCCGCU
rnacentral:rRNA from 1 species